GACGAACGCUGGCGGCGUGCUUAACACAUGCAAGUCGAACGGAAAGGCCUGCUUUCCCUUGUGGAUUGCGGGUGCUCGAGUGGCGAACGGGUGAGUAACACGUGAGUGAUCUGCCCCCAACUUGGGUAUAAGCCUGGGAAACUGGGUCUAAUUCCCGAUAGGACUGCAGGGUGGUGCCUGUGGUGGAAAACGAUUUUCUAGUGGUUGGGGAUGAGCUCGCGGCCUAUCAGCUUGUUGGUGGGGUAAUGGCCUACCAAGGCGGCGACGGGUAGCCGGCCUGAGAGGGGGGACGGCCAUAUUGGGACUGAGAUACGGCCCAGACUCCGACGGGAGGCAGCAGUGGGGAAUAUUGCACAAUGGGCGGAAGCCUGAGGCAGCGACGCAGCGUGGGGGAUGACGGCCUUCGGGUUGUAAACUCCUUUCGACCGCGAGGAAGCCACCUGGUUGGAAGGGUGGUGACGGUAGUGGUAGAAGAAGCACCGGCUAACUACGUG
rnacentral:rRNA from 1 species